UACAGAGGUCUCAAGCGUUGUUCGGAUUCAUUGGGCGUAAAGGGUGCGUAGGUGGCGCGCUAAGUCAGGUGUGAAAUUUCGGAGCUUAACUCCGAAACUGCAUUGAUACUGGCGUGCUUGAGGACUGGAGAGGAGACUGGAAUUCAUGGUGUAGCAGUGAAAUGCGUAGAGAUCAUGAGGAAGACCAGUGGCGAAGGCGGGUCUCUGGACAGUUCCUGACACUGAGGCACGAAGGCCAGGGGAGCAAACGGG
rnacentral:rRNA from 1 species